GUCUCCUUUAAGAUUUCUUCUUAUUUUUAUAUGCCUGGUUGUGCUUUUCUUUUUAAUCAUCAUGCUUGGGCUUCCACAUACAUCAUGGAUCUGUCAUUUAUUGUCUUUCAUUAGUUUUAGUAAAUUCUUAGUUAUUGUCUCUUCACAUAUUUUCUAGGCCCUGUUAUUUCUCUUUAUUGCUUCCGGGACUCCAAUCAAACAUAUGCUACACUUUCAAUAAUGUCCUAUGUAUGGCUCUUGGAUCAACUUUUGGAUCGGAUCUUUCCACUAUUUACUUCUCCUUUUUAAAAUUAGUAUUGCCAUAUUUAUAUUGCACUUUGGGGCUAGUUUUCAUGAAGAAAGGUGCGGAACAUUUCGAUUAAUAUGAAUUCUAACUAAUAAGAAUGCAUCAUAUCUUAAACUGGCUGGAUCAAGUAAAAUGUGACUUAUUUCUCUCCCCUCCAGAACUUGCUGCAGUCACUUGAGACUUUCAACUUCUCCAUUUCACAUGGAUCUUUUGGGUGAGUGUUAUUCAGCAUUCUCCCCGGUUUCUGUUAUGUAUUCUAGAUUAUUAUGCUUCCAUCUUAAAUAUCACACACACACACGCCCUACCCUUUGAGAUUCAACACCACUCAAAUAUGUUACCCUCUAACUUCUUGCCACCAUUUUAAUUCCCACAUCGCAAAAGAUGUUGGCUUCUGUUUCUUUGCUCCAGACUUUAGUUCUGCCACCAUUUUGAGUGACUUCAGACAUCAAUUUGGGUAAUCUAUCCAGCACCACAGCUUUAUAGGUAUAGGUACAUCUCUAUUUUGAUUAUCUACUUUUUACACUUCACUAAGAAUUUAUGGUCAUGAAAAUAUGCUUGAUCUUGUCAUCAUCUGAAAUAACUACUCCUGUAAAAUGGUAAACUGAAAUGUCA
rnacentral:lncRNA from 1 species